rnacentral:sRNA from 1 species
UGCAUGCUAAAGAAGAGCGGACCCAGGCCUUUUUGUCGAAGAUUUUAUAAAUUGACACUGCUGCCAAUAUAUGUUAUACUUCCUCUUGUGGCUGCAUAGUGCAGUCGGUAGUUUAUCUUAGGAGGAGUUUCACAUGAUUGGUAAAGUUAAAUGGUUUAGCGCAGAAAAAGGUUACGGAUUCAUUGAAAGAGAAGAUGGCGGCGACGUGUUCGUACACUUCUCGGCUAUUCAAGAUCAAGGUUUCAAAACCCUGAAUGAAGGCCAGCAAGUUGAAUUUGAAAUCGUUGAAGGCGCUCGUGGACCGCAAGCCAGCAACGUAUACAAGUGCAACUAAAUAUAAACAUAUACCCGGCAAUGUAACUACAUUGCCGGGUUUU